rnacentral:rRNA from 1 species
UACGUAGGGUGCGAGCGUUAAUCGGAAUUACUGGGCGUAAAGCGUGCGCAGGUGGUUUUGUAAGUCAGAUGUGAAAUCCCCGGGCUUAACCUGGGAACUGCGUUUGAAACUACAAGGCUAGAGUGUGGCAGAGGGGGGUGGAAUUCCGCGUGUAGCAGUGAAAUGCGUAGAGAUGUGGAGGAACACCGAUGGCGAAGGCAGCCCCCUGGGUCAACACUGACGCUCAGGCACGAAAGCAUGGGGAGCAAACAGG